CUUUGUUGUGUGUGUGAGUUUGUUAGAUUGAGGUCAGGUUCAUCUAGGGUUUGGUUUGUUUGUUUGUGUGCUUGUGAAGGUGAUGGCAUCGAAACGGACCUAAAGCAGCUGAAGGACCUCUAGAAAGAUCCUCCUACUUCAUGCAGUGCUGACCCUGUUUGAAAAUCUGGAGCCUGCUUUGAGGGAAGAUAUACAGAAGCUAUGGGAUGGAGUUCCGAAGCCCAAAGCCCAUAAUUAUGUGUAGGGAACUCCUAAACAACCAACAAGUACGGAGUGUGGAUAUUUUGUGAUGCGUUAUAUGGAGGAGAUUGUUGAAGAUAAAAAUUUGGAAUUUGCA